rnacentral:rRNA from 1 species
UACGGAGGAUCCAAGCGUUAUCCGGAAUCAUUGGGUUUAAAGGGUCCGUAGGCGGUUUAAUAAGUCAGUGGUGAAAGCCUAUCGCUUAACGAUAGAACGGCCAUUGAUACUGUUAGACUUGAAUUAGUGGGAAGUAACUAGAAUAUGUAGUGUAGCGGUGAAAUGCUUAGAUAUUACAUGGAAUACCAAUUGCGAAGGCAGGUUACUAUCACUAUAUUGACGCUGAUGGACGAAAGCGUGGGGAGCGAACAGGAUUAGAAACCCUUGUAGU